UGGGGAAUAUUGCACAAUGGGCGCAAGCCUGAUGCAGCGACGCCGCGUGCGGGAUGGAGGCCUUCGGGUUGUAAACCGCUUUUGUUUGGGAGCAAGCCCUUCGGGGUGAGUGUACCUUUCGAAUAAGCACCGGCUAACUACGUGCCAGCAGCCGCGGUAAUACGUAGGGUGCGAGCGUUAUCCGGAUUUAUUGGGCGUAAAGGGCUCGUAGGCGGUUCGUCGCGUCCGGUGUGAAAGUCCAUCGCCUAACGGUGGAUCUGCGCCGGGUACGGGCGGGCUGGAGUGCGGUAGGGGAGACUGGAAUUCCCGGUGUAACGGUGGAAUGUGUAGAUAUCGGGAAGAACACCAAUGGCGAAGGCAGGUCUCUGGGCCGUUACUGACGCUGAGGAGCGAAAGCGUGGGGAGCGAACAG
rnacentral:rRNA from 1 species